GGAAGGAUCAUUACCGAGUGAGGGCCCUUUGGGUCCAACCUCCCACCCGUGUUUAUUUACCUCGUUGCUUCGGCGGGCCCGCCUUAACUGGCCGCCGGGGGGCUCACGCCCCCGGGCCCGCGCCCGCCGAAGACACCCCCGAACUCUGCCUGAAGAUUGUCGUCUGAGUGAAAAUAUAAAUUAUUUAAAACUUUCAACAACGGAUCUCUUGGUUCCGGCAUCGAUGAAGAACGCAGCGAAAUGCGAUACGUAAUGUGAAUUGCAAAUUCAGUGAAUCAUCGAGUCUUUGAACGCACAUUGCGCCCCCUGGUAUUCCGGGGGGCAUGCCUGUCCGAGCGUCAUUGCUGCCCUCAAGCCCGGCUUGUGUGUUGGGCCCCGUCCUCCGAUUCCGGGGGACGGGCCCGAAAGGCAGCGGCGGCACCGCGUCCGGUCCUCGAGCGUAUGGGGCUUUGUCACCCGCUCUGUAGGCCCGGCCGGCGCUUGCCGAUCAACCCAAAUUUUUAUCCAGUUGGUUGACCUCGGAUCAGGU
rnacentral:rRNA from 1 species